AGAACUUAGCAGAGAUGCUUUGGUGCCUUCGGGGAACUCUGAGACAGGUGCUGCAUGGCUGUCGUCAGCUCGUGUUGUGAAAUGUUGGGUUAAGUCCCGCAACGAGCGCAACCCUUUAUCCUUUUGUUGCCAGCGGUUAGGCCGGGAACUCAAAGGAGACUGCCAGUGAUAAACUGGAGGAAGGUGGGGAUGACGUCAAGUCAUCAUGGCCCUUACGAGUAGGGCUACACACGUGCUACAAUGGCGCAUACAAAGAGAAGCGACCUCGCGAGAGCAAGCGGACCUCAUAAAGUGCGUCGUAGUCCGGAUUGGAGUCUGCAACUCGACUCCAUGAAGUCGGAAUCGCUAGUAAUCGUGGAUCAGAAUGCCACGGUGAAUACGUUCCCGGGCCUUGUACACACCGCCCGUCACACCAUGGGAGUGGGUUGCAAAAGAAGUAGGUAGCUUAACCUUCGGGAGGGCGCUUACCACUUUGUGAUUCAUGACUGGGGUGAAGUCGUAACAAGGUAAGCGUAGUGCU
rnacentral:rRNA from 1 species